UGGGGAAUUUUGGACAAUGGGGGAAACCCUGAUCCAGCAAUGCCGCGUGUGUGAAGAAGGCCUUCGGGUUGUAAAGCACUUUUGUCCGGAAAGAAAUCCUUGGCUCUAAUACAGUCGGGGGAUGACGGUACCGGAAGAAUAAGCACCGGCUAACUACGUGCCAGCAGCCGCGGUAAUACGUAGGGUGCAAGCGUUAAUCGGAAUUACUGGGCGUAAAGCGUGCGCAGGCGGUUUGCUAAGACCGAUGUGAAAUCCCCGGGCUCAACCUGGGACUGCAUUGGUGACUGGCAGGCUAGAGUAUGGCAGAGGGGGGUAGAAUUCCACGUNUAGCAGUGAAAUGCGUAGAGAUGUGGAGGAAUACCGAUGGCGAAGGCAGCCCCCUGGCAAGUACUGACGCUCAUGCACGAAAGCGUGGGGAGCAAACAGGAUUAGAUACCCCUGGUAGUCCACGCCCUAAAACGAUGUCAACUAGUUGUUGGGGAUUCAUUUCCUUAGUAACGUAGCUAACGCGUGAAGUUGACCGCCUGGGGAGUA
rnacentral:rRNA from 1 species